GAUGAACGCUGGCUGUGUGCCUAAUACAUGCAUGUCGAACGAAGCACUUGUGCUUAGUGGCGAAUGGGUGAGUAACACGUACUUAAUCUGCCCUCAAGUCUGGGACAACAGUUGGAAACGACUGCUAAUACCGGAUACGGGUUGUUACCGCAUGGUAACUUCCUAAAAGGAGCGUUUGCUUCGCUAGAGGAUGAGAGUGCGUCAUAUUAGUUAGUUGGUAGGGUAAUGGCCUACCAAGACGAUGAUAUGUAGCGGGGUCGAGAGGCUGAACCGCCACACUGGGACUGAGAUACGGCCCAG
rnacentral:rRNA from 1 species